CGCUGGCGGCGUGCUUAACACAUGCAAGUCGAGCGGAAAGGCUCCUUCGGGGGUACUCGAGCGGCGAACGGGUGAGUAACACGUGAGUAAUCUGCCCUUGGCUUUGGGAUAACUACCGGAAACGGUGGCUAAUACCGGAUACGACCACUCCUUGCAGGAGGUGGUGGUGGAAAGUUUUUCGGCCAGGGAUGUGCUCGCGGCCUAUCAGCUUGUUGGUGGGGUAAUGGCCUACCAAGGCUUCGACGGGUAGCCGGCCUGAGAGGGUGACCGGCCACACUGGGACUGAGACACGGCCCAGACUCCUACGGGAGGCAGCAGUGGGGAAUAUGGGACAAUGGGCGGAAGCCUGAUCCAGCAACGCCGCGUGAGGGAUGACGGCCUUCGGGUUGUAAACCUCUUUCAGUACCGACGAAGCGCCGAUGAUGGUGGUGACGGUAGGUACAGAAGAAGCACCGGCCAACUACGUG
rnacentral:rRNA from 1 species